AAUGAGCAUUAAGUUAAGAAUGUGAUCGCAGGGCAGCAAAUGAGCCAAAGACUGAAGUGUGACAGCUGACUCCCAUCAGCCAAUAGGAGUCUGACUUGCACUGUCUGAUGCUUCAUUUCUGAACAUCACCGAAUCUUCUUCAAAAGCUUGGACAGCGAGGUGAUUCGCUUCUUUUGUCUGUUUUUAUAAAAGCUCAACACAUUUGAAAAUGUGAUCUCAGGGUUCAGGGUAUUUCUGAUCCAUUGAUUUGCUACUUAUAGAUUGAUGCUUUAUUUUUUAAAAGAAAACACAGCAAUUAACAGAAAUCCUCGACCUUGACAGAGAAACAAAUCACCUCCGUCCCAGGCGUGUCAACACCGUAGUGUGAACCCGUUCAGAGGAUGAGGACGGUCCAAAUGAAACUCCUCCUCUGUCCUGUGCCUCAGCGAGAGGCCCAGGCAGUUAGAGACUCGUCUACUUCAGCUCAUUUUAAGUCAAACUGAAGCAGGGCAGCAGAGGAGCUAAAAGGAGUUCAGAUCCCAGGACGCUAAGGCUUCAAACUCGGAGCAGCUCGGCACAAAACUGCAUCACCACCAUCGCGUCUCGUGAUAUACUGGAAGGUAAAGGUUUUGGAUAACCUCUAGUCCAACCAAAUGUAAAGAUCUUAUCCAGGGUCACUCACGCAGUUGUAUAAUUAGAACAACUACGAGUCGUGUGGGCCUGCUGGAGGGAAGUUCAGGUCUCAGCUCGGACAAGCUCAGGUCCCCCGGGUCUGCCUGCACAGCGGGAAAGACUGAAAAUAAUUCAGAAUAAAGAGAAACUAUAUCAGAUCUGCAGUUGUUGCAAUAACACACUCACAGUGUCCAGAUGACCUACUGUGUCCUCUGGGAUUACAGUCUCUCACUGCUGAUUUUACUUGAUUUCACCAGCAGGAAGUGGAUUUCAUGUGGGACUUUCAUUUCUCUUUUCCCCAUCCGACGGGGCCACCUCCUUCUGUUUGUCUCCACUGCUUUGAGUGUGCGAUACACCCCCUCAGGGACGACCACAACCCGGCAGAGCAGCGACAUUAAGGGUCUGCGAUUUGAUUUGGAUCGCGAGGCGGUGAGGCGGAUCAUAUUCAGCCUGUGGGCCGAGCAGGGAGGAAACGAGAGGAUUUUAAUCAAAUGCACUGAAAGCGUUUUUACAGCCUCUGCCUGCACAGGUGAUAAAAUGCUUUUCCAGUUACCAUAAAUAUGGAUUUCUUCACGGGGGUCAGAGCUCAGUUGAAGCUGAAGUCAGCCAGUUUGCUCGAGGGCACUUCAGAGAUGUGGGAUGCUGCAGGUGUGAUAACCGGCCUCCCUCCAGCUACAAGCCGCCAGCUGAAAUCCACCUGCCAGUCAGCACCGAGGACCAAAAAGCCCUGCAGUCUCUGUUGGCUGAAGCUCCAGGCCAUCCUGCACCGCCGGGCCGCUUGGAGCCAGAUCACCAUAUUCAUAAUUAAACAGCUCAGAGGUUCUCAUGAAUGUGUAGAAAGCCUACACACUUGCAGGCUAAAUGUUGCUGUACAUGCAGAAUGAAUAAAAUCCAGUCUGGGUCGCUCUGCAGCAGUAAAA